rnacentral:rRNA from 1 species
ACGCUCGACACCUACGGGAGCAGCAGUGGGGAAUAUUGCACAAUGGGGGAAACCCUGAUGCAGCGACGCCGCGUGAGCGAAGAAGUAUUUCGGUAUGUAAAGCUCUAUCAGCAGGGAAGAAAGUGACGGUACCUGACUAAGAAGCACCGGCUAAAUACGUACCAGCAGCCGCGGUAAUCUGAGCGGGCUGGCAAGGC